rnacentral:tRNA from 1 species
GGAGUUGUGGCUCAGUGGUGGAGUGCUUGCCUAGCAGGCAUGAGGCACUGGGUUUGAUCCCCUGCACCACCU